CGACGCUGGCGGCGUGCCUAAUACAUGCAAGUCGAGCGGACAGAAGGGAGCUUGCUCCCGGAUGUUAGCGGCGGACGGGUGAGUAACACGUGGGUAACCUGCCUGUAAGACUGGGAUAACUCCGGGAAACCGGAGCUAAUACCGGAUAGUUCCUUGAACCGCAUGGUUCAAGGAUGAAAGACGGUUUCGGCUGUCACUUACAGAUGGACCCGCGGCGCAUUAGCUAGUUGGUGGGGUAAUGGCUCACCAAGGCGACGAUGCGUAGCCGACCUGAGAGGGUGAUCGGCCACACUGGGACUGAGACACGGCCCAGACUCCUACGGGAGGCAGCAGUAGGGAAUCUUCCGCAAUGGACGAAAGUCUGACGGAGCAACGCCGCGUGAGUGAUGAAGGUUUUCGGAUCGUAAAGCUCUGUUGUUAGGGAAGAACAAGUGCGAGAGUAACUGCUCGCACCUUGACGGUACCUAACCAGAAAGCCACGGCUAACUACGUGCCAGCAGCCGCGGUAAUACGUAGGUGGCAAGCGUUGUCCGGAAUUAUUGGGCGUAAAGGGCUCGCAGGCGGUUUCUUAAGUCUGAUGUGAAAGCCCCCGGCUCAACCGGGGAGGGUCAUUGGAAACUGGGAAACUUGAGUGCAGAAGAGGAGAGUGGAAUUCCACGUGUAGCGGUGAAAUGCGUAGAGAUGUGGAGGAACACCAGUGGCGAAGGCGACUCUCUGGUCUGUAACUGACGCUGAGGAGCGAAAGCGUGGGGAGCGAACAGGAUUAGAUACCCUGGUAGUCCACGCCGUAAACGAUGAGUGCUAAGUGUUAGGGGGUUUCCGCCCCUUAGUGCUGCAGCUAACGCAUUAAGCACU
rnacentral:rRNA from 1 species